UUAUAUGGUGGAGAAGAAUAGGAAACUUCAGAACCAGUUUGAAGCCGAAGCUUCGACUUCUUCUCAUGGUGGUUCGGGUUCUGUGAAGCCUCUAUUCGAUGGGGUUUCCAUCUUUGUCGAUGGUUUCACGGUUCCUUCCAGUCAGCCUCAGUACUCACUUUGAAGUCUGAACUGAUCUUCCUUCCCUUUUUGUCAUCCCAUCAGGUACAAAAACUCUUCAAAGCUUUUUCCUAUUCUAUAUGAAAAUAACAAAGUGUUUUUCAUUAUACUGAGGCUCUUGAUUUCUGAUGAAUAUAUUUAUGCUAUUAGAAAAUAUUAGUUGGUGGACAAAAGAGAUAAAACAAUGGUAGAUUAAUUUAUUGCAUCUUCUUCUUAUUUUCAUCUGUAUCUUUUCCCCCUUUUGGUUCUCUCUUUAUUUCUUGGAAGACCUUUACUUCAUAGUUUAAAGCUUCGGUAGUAUUUGUAAAGGGCAUAGCUGUUUCCAGUUGUGUCCAAUGAAAUUUCAUUUUGUUGGUUUGGUCAAAAAGACACAUCCUUGCAUCACAUGGAGGUAUAACUUAUUAUAUCCACCUAACUUCUUUUAAAAUUAUCCUAGAGGGUAAUAUUAUAUCUCACUUCUGGGCCCUUUUAGCAAUGCUAGGGGGAACCACAGCUGUAGCCUUCAUUUAAAUUGCCUAAUUUUAAAGUACUGUUAGUCAAAUAUCCCAUUUUUCAUCAAAAGAUUGGCAGUAGGCUUGCUUGGAAUAACUUUUUUCAAGAUGUACUUUAAUAAUAAGUUGUAGGAUAACCUUUGCUUCAUUGUUGAAAUGCUAGACUGAUAGUUCAUUAGACUGAGUAUUGGCUCCAUUAUGUACAAGAAAGCUAAUUUUGGUUCCAAUCAAGACGACCAAGAAAGGUUCAAAUCCCCCCUCCCCUAUCGAUUUUACUAUCAAAUUAUCCAAAAAAAAUUAACUCCAGUUUAGACACUUGUGGCCUUGUGGGGUCUAUAUGUUCAUUAAAUGCUUUUCUAGAAGGCUGAUGAGUCUUUGAAGUGUUAGUAGUUUUACAAGUAUCAAGUAUGGUUAAGUCUGCAUUUCCAAGACAAUGGGCAAAAAAGGUUUAUGAUUUAUGUCUUUAAUUAUUGGGUGGCCCAAAUACCAUCAUAAAGUGGGUGAAUGCUACUCUUCCCAACCCUUCUGAAUAAUUAUUUUCCUUGCUGGCCUCCCCACCUGCAAUUUGCGUAGAGGAAAUAUUACAAAAAUUGGGCUCCUUGUGGCUGCUGGUGCUGGACAUAUCAUGGUUGGACCCUUCCUGUUGAACUGUGUAUAGUAGCAUACUUUGUUUAUGAGCUACUUCCUUCAUUGCCACAACUUUGAAUUUGUUCUGAAGCAGUUGCCCUUGGUAUUGAGUUCUCUAUCACUCUCCAUGCCAUUCUAUGAUUUGGGGGUUGCAGUAUUUUGAAGCGCUUCCCUGCAAUUCUGGGACUUUCAAUCACUUAUCAUCUACUGAUUUGUAUGUAGUUUUUUUAAGCACUUCUUAUGGGCAAGUAAUUCUCAUGUAAGAAGAAUUUGUGCUUUAGUUAAGAAGGUUGUAAUAUAAAACUUCUAGGAAUUCGUAACUGUUCUAGAAUUGUCCAUUUUUUAACGGUUA